rnacentral:ncRNA from 1 species
GGUAAAAUGUUGAUAGGGAAAAGUAAAUGGUUACUCGUUACCCAGAGAGAAUCACAUUGGUGAAAGUGAUUUUAACAGUAGUCAUGGAAGUGCCCCCUUGAGUCCUUAGCCGAAAAACACGUUUUAGUAGGCUAGGGCGGUGGAAACCGUUACAUUACAUGAGUUGAGAUAAUUUAUUUUAUCUAAACAGAGUGGAACCGCGCAUAAAGCGUCUCUGUG